GACGAACGCUGGCGGCGGGCUUAACACAUGCAAGUCGAACGGAAAGGCCCUGCUUUUGUGCGGUGCUGGAGUGGCGAACGGGUGAGUAACAGGAGAGUAACCUGCCCUUGACUUUGGGAUAGCUUCAGGAAACUGGGCCUAAUCCCGGAUAGCAGCUCCUGCUGCAUGGUGGGGGGUGGAAAGUUUGGGCGGGUGGGGUUGGACUCGCGGCUUAUCAGCUUGUUGGUGGGGUAGGGGCUGACCAAGGCUUUGACGGGUCGCCGGCCUGGGAGGGUGACCGGCCACAUUGGGACUGAGAGACGGCCCAGACUCCUACGGGAGGCAGCAGUGGGGAAUAUUGCACAAUGGGCGGAAGCCUGAUGCAGCAACGCCGCGUGCGGGAUGACGGCCUUCGGGUUGUAAACCGCUUUCGCCUGUGACGAAGCGUUAGUGACGGUAAUGGGUAAAGAAGCACCGGCUAACUACGUG
rnacentral:rRNA from 1 species